rnacentral:rRNA from 1 species
UGCCAGACUCCUACGGGAGGCAGCAGUGAGGAACAUUGGUCAAUGGCCGGAAGGCUGAACCAGCCAAGCCGCGUGAAGGACGAAGGUGCCAAGCAUUGUAAACUUCUUUUGUCAGGGGACAAAAUCAGGCUCGAGAGCCUGACCGAGGGUACUUGAAGAAAAAGCAUCGGCUAACUCCGUGCCAGCAGCCGCGGUAAUACGGAGGAUGCGAGCGUUAUCCGGAUUUAUUGGGUUUAAAGGGUGCGUAGGCGGAUUUUUAAGUCAGCGGUAAAAUGUCCGGGCUCAACCCGGGCCGGCCGUUGAAACUGGGGAUCUUGAGUGGGCGAGAAGUAUGCGGAAUGCGUGGUGUAGCGGUGAAAUGCAUAGAUAUCACGCAGAACUCCGAUUGCGAAGGCAGCAUACCGGCGCCCGACUGACGCUGAGGCACGAAAGCGUGGGGAUCGAACAGGAUUAGAUACCCUAGUACA